GCACAUCAUCCUCGCGGAAGCAGUCUGCCCUCCCUCAUCGCGGUCGUAGGGCGUCGGCAAAUUGCGCGGAGGAUCCUCCAGCCGCUUCCGGCGAGUUACACUUCCGGCAAGGACCGCAGCGGUGUUUCCGCCAACGAAGAAGUGUGACAGGCUAUUCGCUCCUCCGCAAUAUCAUUCCUUUGUUCUACGGCUGACACGGCAAGGACGAUAAAUGCACCGACUGAGACUCGCGGAAGCACGCGUCAUCGGCCUAGGAUCAUGAAGGAUGCACCGGCCUUUCUAAUUUUCCUAGUCGCAAAGUAAUCCCGGCGGCAUACAAUUUUGCAUUUUUCUUUUUUAUGCGAGAAAGGACCUUGAUACCUUUUUAUGGAAAUAAAAAUUUUGUAAAGUUUAUUUCUGUAAUAUACGCAUGCAAGAAUUAUGAUGCGUCUCAAUAAAUAAAUGUGUUAAAACGA